CUGCUUUAUAAACACUGGAAGACUACCACAGAAAGGGGGCCUGAUAAGAGAAAGCUCAUUGCCUCGCAGACUUUUUAAUUCACUCUAAGAACACAAAAUAGUCCUGCAUCCUGCGAGGGUAAAGCCUGGGCCGGAACGUAGGGUUUUAUUAAGUCAGCCAGGUAGGAAGGUGCCAGUCCGUGAACAAUUUUAUAAGCUAGUAGGAGAACCUUAAAAUCUGCUCUCACAGAAACAGGAUGCCAGUGAAGAGAUGCCAGAAUGGGUGUAAUGUGGUCAAAUUUUCUGCUUCAUGUCAGAAGUCUGGCAGCAGCAUUCUGAACCACUUGGAGACCCCCAAUGCUGAACUGCAGUAAUCCUGAAAAUAGGACAUUGCAAUAAUCCAAUCUAGAAGAAACAAAAGCAUGUGUGGUGUGAAUCAGCGGAGCUCUGA